AUUGAACGCUGGCGGCAUGCCUUACACAUGCAAGUCGAACGGCAGCACGGGAGCAAUCCUGGUGGCGAGUGGCGAACGGGUGAGUAAUAUAUCGGAACGUGCCCAGUCGUGGGGAUAACGUAGCGAAAGCUACGCUAAUACCGCAUACGAUCUAUGGAUGAAAGCGGGGGAUCGCAAGACCUCGCGCGAUUGGAGCGGCCGAUAUCAGAUUAGGUAGUUGGUGAGGUAAAGGCUCACCAAGCCCGACGAUCUGUAGCUGGUCUGAGAGGACGACCAGCCACACUGGGACGUGAGAC
rnacentral:rRNA from 1 species